AGGGUCUCACUCUGUUGACCAGGCUGGAGUGCAGUGGCACAAUCAUGGCUCCCCGCAGCCUCGACCGUCUGGGCUGAAGUGAUCCUCUCCUGUGUUAGCCACCCAAGGUGCUGGGAUUACAGAUGGAGUCUUGCUCUGUCACCCAGGCUGGAGUCCAAUGGCGCCAUCUCUGCUCACUGCAACCUCCACCUCUUGGCUUCAAGCAAUCCUCCUGCCUCAGCCUCCCAAAGUGCUGGGGUUACAGGUGCCAUCCAUCAUGCCUGGCCUGACUAGUGGCCACUUUACAAGAAGAGGAGAGGACAGAGAGAGAUAAAGGGAAAAUGGCCAUGUGAAGAUGGAGGCAAGGAUUAGAGUGAUGCAACCACAAGCCAAGGAGUGCCGGGGGCUCCCAGAAGCUGGAAGAGAGACGGGGUCUUGCUAUGUUGCUCACGCUGGUCUUGAACUCCUGGCCUCAAGAGAUCCUUUGCCUCGGCCUCCCAAAACACCAGGAUUACAGCCAGAGAAGAAAACAAAGAAGAAUCAGAUCAGCCAAGCGGGCUGCUGAGAAGGAUGGCCUGAACUGCAGGGAUGCAGGAAGCGCUGAAGAUGCUUUGUCAGCUAAGAAUUGCUUAAAGGAAAAUGGGUAAAGUCCAUUGUUCCCUCCAGCUCUAGUCUUUGCCGCGUUCUACCCUCCUUUGUUCCCGAGGCUGACCCCAAAAGACAACAUCAUUGGGCUCUGUUGCCCAUUGGCUUUUGGUUGGCUCAGCCAAUGGGAGGUGCUCACAGAAGAAAAGUGGGAGAAGGGGUGGGGUGCGAUGGCUCAUGCCUGUAAUCCCAGCACUUUGGGAGGCUGAAGCAGGAGCAUUGGUUGAGGCUGGGAGUAUGUGACCAGCCUGGGAAGCAUAGGAAAACCCCAUCUCUACAAAGAAAGAAUAAGAAAAGAGGAAGAAAGAAAGAAGAAAGAAAGAGAAAGAAAAAGAAAGGAAGAAAGGAAAAAGAGAGAGAGAGAGAAAGGGCCAGGGACAGUGGCUCAUGCCUGUAAUCCCAGCAGUUUGGGAGGCUGAGGCAGGCAGAUCACCUGAGGUCAGAAGUUCGAGAUGAGCCUGGCCAACAUGGUGAAAACCCAUCUCUACUAAAAAUACAAAAAUUAGCCGGGUAUGAUGGUGGGCGCCUGUAAUCCCAGCUACUCUGGAGGCUGAGGCAAAAGAAUUGCCUGAACUUGGGAGGCGGAGGUUGCAGUGAGCCCAGGUCACGCCACUGCACUCCAGCCUGGGCGACAGAGUGAGAGUCCAUCUCAAAAGAACAAAAAAAAAAAAAAAAAAAAGAGAGAGAAAGGAAGGAAGGAAGAAGGAAAGAAAGAAAGAAUAGAAAGAAGAAAGAAAGGCAAGAAAAGAAUUAGCUGAGUGUGGUGGCACAUACUUGUAGUCCCACUUACUUGGGGGCUGAGACGGGAGGAUUGCUUGAGCCCGUGAGUUCAAGGCUGCAGGGAGCUAUGAUCCCAUUGCUGCACUCCAGCCCGGGUGACAGAGCAGAGAAAAAAAAAAGUGGGAGAAGGGUGAGGUUGAGGGAAUUUGUUUUAUUUUAUUUCAUGUAUUUUUUGAGACAAAGUCUCACUCUGUCACCCAGGUUGGAGUGCAGUGGCACGAUCUGGGCUCACUGCAACAUCCACCUCCUGGGUUCAAGUGAUUCUCCUGCCUCAGCCUCCCGAGUAGCUGGGAUUACAGGCACACACCACCACACCUGGCUAAUUUUUGUAUUUUUUAAAAAAAAUUUUUGUAUUUUUAAUAGAGACAGGGUUUCACCAUGUUGGUCAGGCUGGUCUUGAACCCCUGACCUCAGGUGAUCUGCCCACUUGGCCUCUCAAAGUGCUGGGAUUACAGGCAUGAGCCACUGUGUCCAGCCUCUUCUUCUGCCUUUUCGUUCUAUUCUAGCCCUCAAUGGACUGGAAGAUGCCCACUGCAUUGAGGAGGCUGACUCUUCUUUCCUCAAUCUACAGAUUCCAAUGCAAAUCUCUUCUGAAAACACAGACACACCCAGAAAUAACCUGUAACUCGCUAUCUGGGCAUCUCUUAGCCCAGUCAAGUUGACUUCAAAUUAAUCAUGACAGCUACCUUAUACCUGACCCCAAAACUCAGUGUGGCUUAAAGCAAUAGUCAUUUAUUCCCAUGCCCCUGUGCACCGUCGGGGUUUGGCUGAUCUGGCUGGGGCUUGGCUGGGCGAUUCUGCUGUAUGUGUCCCUCCUUUCCUCCUGGGAUGGUUGCUUCCGUGGUGACAGCAGAGGUGCAAGAUGGCAGGCAGAGCCACAUGUGGAUUCUGAAUCCUGGGUUGGAACCCACCCCUUGCCAUUUCUGCCCACAUACCAUUGAUUGAAGCAAGUCACGUGGCCAAGGCCAAGCAGUGAAGUCCCCACCACCCAUGAUGAGACCGUCGCCAAGACAGGAACACAGGAAACAGUGACUCACUGGGGCCCAUUGUUCAACCUGCUCAUGGUCACCAACCCCGGCAGUAAACCUGAGAGUUUAAAAGCUGGUUGACUCAGGAUGGUCUCAUUUGCGCAAGAUGAAAAGCAGGACUUUUCGGCAUUUUCAAAGGACUUCCGAGGAGACCAGGAUGACUAUUUAUGUUGAUCAUCACAAAGUGAGUCACGCAAGUCACGUGAUUUAAAAACAGGAAAAUUCAACGCUGACUGCCCAGACAUGACUCUGUACCACCACAGCCGCUUACGUGACACAGCAGUUUUGAGUUCACAAGGCACUUUAAUAAACAAUAACAUGUCUUAUGUUUUACUAGAAACAGUCUUUCUCCUAUUAUUAUCCUAGUUUUGAAUAGGUGGCAAUGGAGGCUUAAGGGACUUGCCCAAGAGAACACAGCUUGCAAAUGUCAGGGCCUGGAAUUCACAAAAACACUUUACAGGUAGCAGAUGCUAAGUGCUUUGCAUGUACUAGAGGUCAGCAAGCUCUGGGCCAGGCACCAAAUCCAGCCUAUAACCAGUUUUUAUAAAUAAAGUUUUAUUGGCAGAAAGCCAUGCUCAUUCAUUUACAUAUGGUCAGGG